rnacentral:rRNA from 1 species
UUAUCAUUUAGAGGAAGGAGAAGUCGUAACAAGGUUUCCGUAGGUGAACCUGCGGAAGGAUCAUUGUCGAUACCUGCCCAGCAGACAGACCCGCGAACACGUCCCGACACGCCCCGGGAGAAGGGGGCGGGAUCUCCUCCCGCCCCCCGGCCCCGGUGGGCCGGGCGCCAUCCGUGGCUCCCGGCCCGAACACAAACACCGGCGCGGACAGCGCCAAGGAACAUCACAACGGAACGGGCGUGCGCCGCCGUGCCCUCGGCGCGGCGUGCCUCGUCCACAAUCCGAAUCUUACGAACGACUCUCGGCAACGGAUAUCUCGGCUCUCGCAUCGAUGAAGAACGUAGCGAAAUGCGAUACUUGGUGUGAAUUGCAGAAUCCCGUGAACCAUCGAGUCUUUGAACGCAAGUUGCGCCCUAGGCCACCGGGCCGAGGGCACGCCUGCCUGGGCGUCACGCAUCGCGUCGCCCGCCCACCCCCGCCCCCCGUGGCGGGACGUGUGCGGAGCGGAGUCUGGCCCCCCGUGUCCCCUCUGGGGCGCGGCCGGCCCAAAGGCAAAGGCCCCCUGUGUGGCGAGCGUCACGACGAGUGGUGGUAGAAGCCACUGUGCCAUUAGUCCGGACGUCGUGCCCGCGUCGCCCCGCCCCGGGAGCCGACGACCCUGAAGAUGCGCUACGGCGCUCCGACCGCGACCCCAGGUC